UGCCAUGCGUAGACCAGGUGACUUCCAGGUU
rnacentral:piRNA from 1 species